rnacentral:lncRNA from 1 species
UGGGUAUUGUUAGUUUCGUAGCAUUGGAUUGGUCUGCCCAUGAAGCUCUUAACCCUACUGUGAUGGAUUGGCAGUGGUUGCAGGAAUUUUCAUUAAUCAGCCGAACAUGGCAUUUUUUAAGGAACUAUUGAUCAUAUUAUUAAGGCUUUCAUUAAUUUUUGGAUGAUUUAUGGAACCAUGGAUAAGAUGGUAGAUGGUAUUGUGAAUAGUUUGUAGCCUCUACAUGGAACAAUAGUUUCUGCCUGUCAUUCUCAUGUAGAAACUUGAGAGGCACUUAUGUAGGGCUAGUUAAUACUUCUGUGGGGUUCACUAUUUUCUCUAGUGUACUCAUUCAUGUUUGGGGGCCAGUCAUUUGUUCUAACAGUUAGGGGUGACAAAACUAUAAUCUCCAUAUUCAUCCUUAUUCUUUUCUCAUCACUUCUUCCACAACGUUUUAUACUCAUGGUUCUUCUUUACAUUUUGUGUUCCUCUCUCUUUCUCUCUCUCUCUCUCUCUCUCAAUGAGGUUGUCUAUGAUGCAACAGUUAAAGAUAUCAAUCUUACAUGUUGAAUAUUUUGUUCUUCUCAUAAAAAAGGAGUAAACGUG